GGGGGCUUAGUUCAAUGGGAGAAUACAGGUAAAAUCUCUUAUUCCCUUUUUAGCAAUUCUGGAAUUCUUAUUCUGUGAUCCUGGUUCGAUUCCAAGAGUUCUUA